UACGUAGGGGGCAAGCGUUGUCCGGAUUUACUGGGCGUAAAGCGCGCGUAGGCGGAACGUUAAGUCCGGUCUGAAAGCCCCGGCUCAACCGGGGAGGGUGGCUGGAAACUGGCGUUCUUGAGGGCGAGAGAGGAGGGUGGAAUUCCUGGUGUAGCGGUGAAAUGCGUAGAGAUCAGGAGGAACACCCGGGGCGAAGGCGGCCCUCUGGCUCGACCCUGACGCUGAGGCGCGAAAGCGUGGGGAGCGAACGGG
rnacentral:rRNA from 1 species